rnacentral:misc_RNA from 1 species
UAAUCUACUGAGGCACCUAAACGUGACGCCUGCGAAAAAUUGCGAUUCGCAGCGAAUUACGCAUGCGCAAUGAAUGACGCACGCCUGAUAUGUAUCAAGGUCACAAGUAGUGCAUAGGCUACUAAUAUUCUAGCUCCAUAAAACAGUACAUAGCAAAGAUCGUAUAGUGCCGGAGACGAUCUUUGGUACAUAGUACAGUUAAAUAAUACAAACUACAGCUGACAAGCCUGCUUCUCUCGAUCACAUGUACACGGCGGGAUCAUGGCGUCAUACAGGAAAGCGACUCUGGCGGAUCGGCAGCAAGUAGUAGACAUGCAGGUGUACGAAGGACUAGACUACAUUCAGAAUGUCUACAACCAGCAUCUGACUGAGUGGAACUCAUCGGCUUACGUUGGGGAGAAGGAUGGAAAAAUUGUGGCAUUUCACUUCAUCACACUCGUGGACGAUGGCGAUACGAUUAUAUCACGCGGGGCUCGCACUAGAGAAGAAUACAAACAUCAAGGCAUCAUCAAUGGUCUCUACGAAUAUGCGUUUAACGAUUUCACUGAGCGCUAUCCUAGCGUCAGCUGGAAGGGAGGCGUCCGCCAUGUGAUUGGUCACGUGACUACGAAGCCAGAAACUCGCAUAGUUUGCAAGGCGCCUUUCUGUACGAUGAAACCAAUAAGUCCUGACACAAUAUUACGUCACUAUGGUAAGUCCGGCCGCUUGUCGGACUAUGGCAGCUUACAGCAGCUGACCAAAGGUCAAAUCCACCGAUUGUUCACGACGCAAGAGGUCGCCACCAAGCUGUUCGGUGAAUACAAUGAUCACGUGGUCAUAUCAUGGAUGCCGUAUCGGACAAUGUCUGACACAAAUGUACAGAUCAUUAUGGAGCAUGAGAACCCGACCGUGUUCGCGGACAUAGGAGGCGCUGGCAGCAACUUCGACUGUACGUCUGCUAGCUUCUCUACACGAGUCCCACUGUACGCGAAAAACUACCCGUCCGGCACUCACGUUAAAUUCGACAUCGAUAUCUACUCAAGUGACCGCGAGAUGGCGCUCAAACAUCUGUAUUCGCAGGUGUAUCAUCAAUGCACUCAGGCGAGAGCUUCGAAAGGCGACAUUAAGAUUCACUUCAUGGUGUUCCUGAAUUGCCCAUUAGAGAGAGAAGCUGUUUUCGAUGCUUUGGUCAGUAUGGGCAUGAAGCCACGAACCAAUUUUUUGGGCGGAUUGAAAGAUCCACGUAUGUUUGGCUCCCUGAGUCCAAUAGAACGUGCAGGCGCGAAGGAAGAUAGAAAAGAUAAAACGAAGGCAUCACUAACACCAACAUCGAAACUUUAACAAUCGAGGACUUUACGCGAGUUCCCGAGAAGUUAUCCAGGGAUAAACGCUCGUGCACGCAUCGGUUUAGUAGGGUUUACUAGCUAGAGGACAAAAUCAUAGAAUAAUGACUUUUCGACGCUUUGGUUAGCAUGGGUAUGGAGUAGAUACAAUAAUGUAACCCAAACACAGGAUAGGUUAUCCUGCGUUUGGGUUACAUUAAUGUAUCUAGGGUAUGGAGCCGCAAACAAAUGGAAUGGGUGGAUUCGUACAACCGCUUACAAUGUUUGCUUUCCUGAACCCAAUUAACCGUGUAGGCUGGAAGCAAGGUAGCAAAGAUAAAACUGAGCAGCAAUCACUGCGACCGACAUCGCAACUAUAAAAAAGCAUUUACGUGAAUUCUUAUGAUCAGGAAGUCAAUUUGAUGAAUGUUAUUGUCUUGUGUUACACUAUAGGCCUCGGUCAAUGUUAUAUACGUAUAUUAUAUAAACGUAUAUUAUAUAUUAUAUAUAUAUAUAUUAUAUACGCAUGUUAUAUAGUAGCUCUGGUGUAUUGAUUUCUAUACUCUUGAUGUUUAGGUUUUGUUGGGUUGGGUAGAGUGAACAGUUGCAAUCUAACAGGCAUCGGAAAGAGAAGCUUUACAUAUUGAUAGAUUGUGAAAUCUGAACUUUGGUUUCAUAUUUAGGUCCUGCGUAUUAAGUUAAAAAAAAAACUCUGGAAUGUGGCGGCAAGAUAGGUAUCUAUGAGGGCAAGGUGUAAAUUAUAAAACGUGAGUUAAUUUAUCAUUGAUUAAUAAAAUUACAGUUAGUAUAGAUCCAU